UAGUAUAACUAAUAUUUUGGGGCAAGAUUUUUCUGAUCAAAAAAUGUGCAUAUUUUGAAAAAAAAAUUUAAAAAGGACUGGGUCUACUGUACCUACAAAAAAAGCUUCAAGCACGGCUCUUCACUGGCACGGCUUCAACUUCCCCCCCUGACUUAGCCUUCCAGUUAUUAUUAGAGUUCACUGACUCAAGCUACUGAAGCUAGCUCGCUUUGCUGAGCUGAUUUCAUCCCAAUUGUUCACAAAAGACUUUUGAGGUGGGCUGGCUCACCAAAACAAAC